rnacentral:rRNA from 1 species
AACGAACGCUGGCGGCAUGCCUAACACAUGCAAGUCGAACGAGACCUUCGGGUCUAGUGGCGCACGGGUGCGUAACGCGUGGGAACCUGCCUUUAGGUUCGGAAUAACUCAGAGAAAUUUGAGCUAAUACCGGAUAAAUGUCUUCGGACCAAAGAUUUAUCGCCUUUAGGAAUGGGCCCGCGUUGGAUUAGCUAGUUGUGGGGUAAAGGCCUACCAAAGGCGACGAUCCAUAGCUGGUCUGAGAGGAUGAUCAGCCACACUGGGACUGAGACACGGCCCAGACU